UCCAUAACUAGUCAUACUCCCACUCUCUUACAACCUCCAUUUCAUCAUCAUCAUCUUCAUCCUCAUCUCUCUCGUUUUCUCUCUCCUCAGCUUCCAUGGAAGCUUUGUACUCUCCGACCACAAAAACCCUAGCCCUAAUUCCACGAUUUUCUUCAUCUUCAUCUUCUUCAUCUUCAUCUUCUGUUUGUCUUUGUAUUUCAAAAAUUCAAUCAAUUCGCAGUGAAUUCUUCGGAAUUUCCCCUAAAUUGAGGCUCAAAUCUCGUCGGAAAUGCAAGCGUCUUCGAUUUCAUACCACUCAAGUUCCCGUCGCUUCGUUGAACUCGUUUCCGAUUGUUGCCGUAAUUGUUGCAGCGGUGACGGUUUCCGCCGUUGCCGUCGUCUUCUCCAAUUUCUAUUAUUCCAAGCGGAAGAAAAAUUCCGAUAAGUCUCCAACUUCCAAGUAUAAACAAGAAGAAAAAGAUACUAGGAAAGUGGGCUAUAGUUCAAAAGAUGCUGCACUUCUUCACAUAGGAAGUUUGAAGGAGAUAAAUUAUCCAUCACCAGAAGUUGGAGAAAGCAUCUCCGAGGAUAAUGUUGGCAAGGUCAAUUUGUCAUGGAAGGGCUCUUCAUCAAUACCUGAAGAUACAUCUGCAGUCAGACAAGCAGAUUUUUCUGAUUCUAACUCUCAUGGAGUAGGGGCUGUUGCUUCUGCGCUUAUGGAGAAGAAAGAAGUAGACCUAUCACUUCCACAUGCAUCUUCCCAACAGCUUCAGAUAAAUAGUUUUAAGGAAACAAACUACCCAUUACAAGAAGUCCAGGAAACCACUUUCAAUGAUAGUGAGGGUAGCACAAAAUUGUCGUAUCAGGAUUGCUCUGCACCACCUAACGGUACAUCAGAUGCUGAGCUAGCAGAUUUUCCUGACUCUAGUUUCCAUGAUUUAGGGACCAUUGCUUCUGCACUUUCAGAGAAGAGUGAAGAAGUUGGUCUAUCACUUCCAGAGGCAUCUCCUGGAUACCUUGACAUGGAAAGUCUUAAGGACAAAAAUUACUCACUUCCAGAAGUUGUAGCAACCACUUCAAAGGAUAAUGUAUGCGGUAUCAAAUUGUCAUGUCAAGAUCCCUCUUUCACACCUCUAAAAACACCUGAUGUUGAAGAAGCAGAUUUUCCUGAUUCCAACUUCCUAGGGGCCAUUGCUUCUUCUCUUUCAGAAAAGAGUGUAGAAGUAGGUCUAACUCUUCCCGAGGAAUCUCCCGAAUUAGACGCCCUUCAACCAUCCGUGCACUUCACUGAAGAAUCAGAUUCUGUAGUAUAUGGAGUGGGGACUGAUUUGAAUUUAAUAUCACCAGUCCAUGUCGACACAAUGCACGAUGCUAUGUCUGUUCUGGUGGAUACUGGAUUCACAAAAGACAGUAAUCUUGUAGAACACCACCAAGAUCAUGAUGAGUUUGAACUUCAAAAUUCUAGCUAUCUUGGUAGUACAAGAUCUGGUAGAGAUGAGCUGUACUUGUUUUAUGAGAAUACCUCUGCAUCAGACAACUCAGAGCAUUUGCUAGGAAUAAAUGGAUCAUCUACUGAAACAUCUCGGUUGGCGAAAAUUAACUUUCCUGGGACUACGAGGAAUUCUGGUCCUAAAAUGUGGCAUGAGGGUUAUUUCCAAACUGCAGGCGUAAGAGAACAUGGGCCUGUUGCAUCCCGUGAAGGAGGCUCUUUUCAUGAGGGAAAAGGCGUGCGGAAAGUAAGAAGAAGUCUAAGAAGUGACACAAAGGCCCAUUCUUUGCUUUAUGACCACCAAAGUGUUUCUGAUCUUCCUGCUGUGUGUGCAUCGGAAGUUAAUAGUGAACUCACUAUACCUAAGAAUAUCAGUGCGUACAACCGCUUGCUAAAAAGUGGCAGGUUAAGCCAAUGCAUAGAGUUGCUUGAAGAUAUGGAUAACAAAGAUAUAUUGGAUAUGAAUAAAAUUUACCAUGCUAAAUUCUUUGACUUCUGCCGAAGACAAAAGGCUGUUAAAGAAGCUUUCCAUUUUACCAAGCUGAUUCCAGAUCCCGCGCUUAGUACUUUCAAUAUGCUUAUGUCUGUUUGUUCUGCUGCACAAGAUUCAGAGGGAGCUUUUGAUGUUUGGCUUCUGGUUCAGAAGGCUGGAUAUAAAGCUGAUUGUAGACUUUACACUACCUUGAUAUCAACCUGUGCAAAAAGUGGAAAAGUUGAUAUAAUGUUUGAAGUCUUUCAUGAAAUGGUGAAUGCUGGGGUAGAACCAAAUCUUCAUACAUAUGGAGCUCUUAUUGAUGGUUGUGCAAGAGCUGGUCAGGUAGCUAAAGCCUUUGGUGUUUAUGGGAUUUUAAGGUCUAAGAAUGUGAAGCCAGAUCGAGUUGUGUUCAAUGCACUUAUAACCGCUUGUGGCCAGUCUGGAGCAGUAGAACGUGCUUUUGACGUGCUGGCAGAAAUGAGAUCUGAACUACAGCCUAUCGACCCUGAUCACUUUACUAUUGGCUCUCUGAUAAGAGCUUGUACAAGUGCUGGUCAGGUUGAUAGAGUGAAAGGAAUAUAUGAUAUGAUGGAGCAAUUCGACAUCAAAGGAACUCCAGAGCUUUACACUAUUGCUGCUAAUAGUUGUAGCCGGACUGGUGAUUGGGAUUUUGCAUGCAACAUAUAUGCUGACAUGAAAAGGAAGGGUGUGGUCCCUGAUGAGAUGUUUUUUAGUGCAUUAAUAGAUGUUGCUGGGCAUGCUGGUAACCUAGAUGCUGCUUUUGAGGUUCUGCAAGAUGCAAGAACUGAAGGGAAGAAUCCAGGAAUUAUCGCAUACAGCUCGUUAAUGGGGGCCUGUAGCAAUACCCAGAAUUGGGAGAAGGCACUCGAGCUAUUUGAGCAUAUUAAAGCUAUGAAUUUGAAACCAACAGUUUCAACUGUGAAUGCAUUAAUUACCGCACUAUGUGAUGCUGGCCAAAGGCAGAAGGCUCUGGAUGUUCUGGAAGAAAUGCAGAGACUUGGCUUGAGCCCAAAUGAUAUCACUUACUCAAUUCUUAUAGCGGCAAGUGAAAAAAAGGAUGAUUUAGAAGUAGGCCUCACACUCUUUUCUCAAGCAAAAGCUGACGGUGUCUCCUUCAGCCAGAUUAUCUUUAAAUGUCUCAUAAAAAUGUGCUACCGGAGAUUUGAGAAGGCUUCUACAAUUGGUGAACCUGUUUUGUCAUUUAAAUCUGGACGGCCGCAAAUUGACAGCAAAUGGACAUCCUUGGCUUUAAUGAUUUAUCGUGAAAUGAUUGGAGCUGGUUUGGUCCCUUCUAUGGAAAUGCUUUCUCAGGUUUUAGGGUGCUUGCAGCUACCAAAAGAUGUAUCCUUGAAGAAGAGGUUAAUUGAGAGUUUGAGAAUCAAUUCUGAAACAUCAAGAAGUGCCAACCUCUUUCCGUUGAUAGAUGGUUUUGCAGAAUAUGACCCUCGUGCUUCUUCAUUAUUUGAGGAAGCUGCUUCACUUGGUAUUGUACCUGGUGCUUCCUUCAAAGAAAAUCCCAUUGUAAUUGAUGCAACGAAUUUCAACAUUCACAUAGCAGAGGUAUAUAUCCUUACAGUUUUGAAAGGACUCAAGCAUCGUCUUGCUGCAGGUGCAAAGGUGCCUAGUAUAACUAUUUCCCUGCCAGUGGAGACAACAGAUGUUUCACGUCCUAAAGGAGAAAAAACAAUCAACGUCUCAGCAAGGCUUAGUCAAGCAGUUGGAGCUUUAUUUCGCAGAUUACGCCUACCUUAUCAAGGAUCUGAAUCUAGUGGAAAAAUCAAAAUCAAUGGAUUUGUGGUUAAAAAAUGGCUUCAACCAAAACUUAUUCCUUCAUUUAGUGGGAAUCAGGCACCACCAGUACAAUUACAACUGGGCUUAUCUCAAUUUAGACUGGCCAAAGAAAUCAUGCAUCAGCAACGCAAAAUUCGUAGUGGGAAUCUCUCCCUGGACUGAUGAAAAUCUGUUCAACAAGACUAAGGUGACUCAGUAAGUAAGAACGAGGAGAGGAUACCAUGUUGGCUCAGUGAAAGAGAUUGACCGAAUGCUAAGAACGUGAGAGCUGGGAGAUGGUACUAUUGAAAUAUGACAUACGUAAAUCUUGAUGUAUCAAGGUAAACACCUCCGUAUUUAUAGUGAUCAAAGUAGAAUGGUUACAUGGUGUAAUUCAGAUUUUUGAGAGACAAAAAGAAUUCUGUUUUUCUAAUUUUUUUAUCCUGGUUUGCCAAAAGAGGGCACAAACUGAGAAUAAGAUAAUUUUCUAUGGUUGACAAAAUUUAAUAAAAUUCUUUCGUGUUAGUAACAUAAUUACACAAUUGGAGAGUAUCAGAAACUGGAGAACUACUGCAGGUCUGUGCAGAAUGAUAAUACAGAAAUUUGAUAAACUAGAAACAGAGAAGUAUACCAAUUUUAAUCCGAAAUUUAAGUCAUUAAAAGAAUGUUUGUAGAACCACCCCUCUGAAUGUUAUAUGUUACAGAUGGGGGGAAAAGUACAAAGUUGUAUUCUGUAAUCUGUACAGUAUAGAUUAGGCCAGGGUUAACUAAACAUCUAGAGAAUAAAACCCCGAAAAAAUUACAGUCAGUGAAACAUCUCUAAAUUGUUCUAAUAGCUAGAACUUGAGUUCUGAAGUUAGUUUAAAGAACGUUUCUGCAGUGCAUGGAAUGGUGAGACCACCCAUAGGAUGAUCAAAUCCGAACUCUUCUUCAGCACGUUGUAGCAAAUUCUGGAAUGUAGGGUGGCUUAGGUAAGAAAGUGGCACUACAUAUUUCUUCUGGUCACCUUGUUGUCCUACAUAAAUUGGGAUGUAUCCCUUUGGUACUACUUGCUGGUUUUUCGCAAGAAUGUGCUUUGCCUUUGACAGAACAGAAAGGAUACGAAUAGCCAUAUCGAUAAAAGUAGAGAGAUGUAGAGAAAAGUUGGUUUUUGCAAGAGAAGAUUUAAUUUGAGUGUGAUGAAAUUUCAGAGCUUAGAAUAGCUACUUAUAUACUGAGGCAAAUUGCUAUAUUUUGGUAGAGCUUUAAACAGAGUAUAUUGUAGAUAGAUUUGGAUGACCCACUUCAUCAAAGGCUCUCACAUGGCUUUGUUUCUUAGCUUCUGAAUCCAAAAACGUACUUGUCCUUUCUCGAUGGUCUAGCUGUCGAUAUCGAUACAUUAUCAUGUUUCCCUUGAGAAAGAUGAUCCACCUAAUCAAAACUCUUAUCUAUAUACGGAGUAGUAUAUACUCCAGGCUCUUAUUUGUUGAUCUGUCAAUUGUCAUGUCUGUAAGUUAAUUAUAAGCUAAAGAGGCCCAUGUGAUUUUCAUAUACUGAGUAGAAAUCAGGACCCCAGCUCCAAGUAUUUGCAUUCCUUUCUAACAAGGAUGUGACUCAUUUUGAUUAAAUUUGUUCCCUCACUUUUUCUUAUAAGUUGUACUCAAUUGACCUAGGCAAUAUGUUUAUAAAUACUCCGAUCUGUAGUUUCCAUAACCACCUAUGUGUCAUAGUGAUCAAACUACUUAUAUACUUGCAGCCUUAAUUAACUCGAAUUGCCGGAAUGCGUAGCUUCAGCUUGGAUAAGUGGAUUAGUAUAUUUCAUUUUGAUGUUAUAUACUUAAAUAUAUCUGGUUCAUAUAUAUAUAUAGUUGAUCAUUGACAAGGGAACUUUCCUAGAAAAGAUCCCUAGCUGACUAACUUGACUUGGUGAAAAAGUCGACUGCAUGUUUAGAACCUCAUCAUUUGAAUAAUGUGACACUAGUAGAAGAUAAGAUAGGAUGUGGAAACUUGAAUAGAACUGGAAUUAUUGUGCAAGAAACAAGCUUUAAGUGUGAGGAAAAGCUACUUAAUGAUUGUAUGGAUAAUGAAGAGUCUAAGAAAGACCCACUUCCUGAGUGCUCUCACAUGGCUUUGCUUUCAUGGGUUUGAAAUGUCAAGUCCAUAUCUGUAACUUGACCCUCAUUGUCUCGUAGCACAUGUUUUUUUUGUGAGCGAGAAAUGAUCCAUUUACUGCAUAUAUCGAUCUCCAGGUCAUAGUGAUCUAGCUAGUGGGUUCUCUGUCAAUCAAUGUUUCCAAAUGCUGUGUAACAUUUCCAUGUGAAUGCAUGUAAACUGUUAUGCAAGGACCUGGUGAAACUGUAGCCUCAUUGAUUUCUUUAUGAUGAUGAAUAUGUAUGUUGUAUGGAACUAGAAUUAAGAACUGCAUUCCACUCUCAAACACCUUGGUACGACAUGUAUGGAACUUCUCAAAAGCCUCAUAUUUGCUCCGAGCCAGUCAACCAAUAUUUCUUUCCAUAUAUCUGGCUGAUACGGAGUAGUUGUACAUUACAUUGCUUAUUGACAAGGAAAGCACCCGAAAGAAGUGCAUGGAAUUGUCAGACCGCCCAUAGGGUGAUGAAAGCCGAACUCUUCUUCAGCACGCCGUAGCAAGUCUUGAAAUACUGGGUGGUUUAAGUAAGAAAGAGGCACCACAUAUCGCUUCCUAUCAGCUUGCUUGCCUACAUAAACUGGGAUGUGUCCUUUUGGGACUAGUUGCUCACUUUUGUUAAGAAUUUGCUUUGCAUUAGAGAGUACAGAAGUAAUACGGAUAGCCAUUCCUGCAGUGAAAUCGUGCAAGAGAACUUGGGAAGAAAUGGGAUGUUUUGCAGAAGAGAAGAUUUGAGCUGAGUAUAAAGCAAUUUCAAAGGCUUCAGUAACUAUUUGUACUAGUUGUGUACUGAGUAGUACAUACUAAUGUACUAUCCGUGUUUCAUUAGACAUAAAUCGGAUAAUUUUUCAUAGGUGGAAAUGGAUGAGGAUGAUUAUGACCCGCCUAAUCAAGUUUCUCACAUGGUUUUGUUUCCUUAAUUAUGAGAGUACUUGUUCCGUGACUCUUAUUCAUUGCUCUGUCAUCAUGAAUGCUUGCAACUUGUAUGUUAACCUUGAGAAUAAAAUGCUGAUGUACGCUUAUCUA